rnacentral:rRNA from 1 species
CAGAGGUGCAAGCGUUAAUCGGAUUUACUGGGCGUAAAGCGCGCGUAGGUGGCCAAUUAAGUCAAAUGUGAAAUCCCCGAGCUUAACUUGGGAAUUGCAUUCGAUACUGGUUGGCUAGAGUAUGGGAGAGGAUGGUAGAAUUCCAGGUGUAGCGGUGAAAUGCGUAGAGAUCUGGAGGAAUACCGAUGGCGAAGGCAGCCAUCUGGCCUAAUACUGACACUGAGGUGCGAAAGCAUGGGAGCAAACAGGAUU